GAUAAACGCUAGCGGCAGGCUUAACACAUGCAAGUCGAGGGGCAGCAUAGAUUGUAGCAAUACAAUUGGUGGCGACCGGCGCACGGGUGCGUAACGCGUAUGCAACCUGCCCGUCACAGGGGGAUAAUCCGGAGAAAUCUGGUCUAAUACCCCAUAACAUAUGGAUCGGCAUCGGUUCAUGUUGAAAUUUUCGGAGGUGACGGAUGGGCAUGCGUAGCAUUAGCUUGCUGGUGAGGUAACGGCUCACCAAGGCGACGAUGGUUAGGGGGACUGGGAGGUUUUCCCCCCACACUGGUACUGGGACACGGACCAGACUCCUACGGGAGGCAGCAGUGAGGAAUAUUGGUCAAUGGGCGCAAGCCUGAACCAGCCAUGCCGCGUGCAGGAUGACGGCUCUAUGAGUUGUAAACUGCUUCUGUACGAGGGUAAAGUGGGUUACGUGUAACCUUUUGAAAGUAUCGUACGAAUAAGGAUCGGCUAACUCCGUGCCAGCCGCCGCCGUAA
rnacentral:rRNA from 1 species